rnacentral:rRNA from 1 species
ACAUUCCUACGGGGGGCAGCAGUGAGGAAUAUUGGUCAAUGGCCGGAAGGCUGAACCAGCCAAGUCGCGUGAGGGACGACUGCCCUAUGGGUUGUAAACCUCUUUUAUAAGGGAAGAAUAAAUGCUACGUGUAGCAUGAUGCCUGUACCUUAUGAAUAAGCAUCGGCUAACUCCGUGCCAGCAGCCGCGGUAAUACGGAGGAUGCGAGCGUUAUCCGGAUUUAUUGGGUUUAAAGGGUUCGUAGGCGGUUUUUUAAGUUAGUGGUUAAACGUCGGGGCUUCCCCUUGGUUUUCCAUUAAUACUGG